CAGUAGCCGCGGUAAUACGAAGGGUGCAAGCGUUAAUCGGAAUUACUGGGCGUAAAGCGUGCGUAGGCGGUUUGUUAAGUCUGUUGUGAAAUCCCCGGGCUCAACCUGGGAAUGGCAUUUGUGACUGGCAAGCUAGAGUGUGGCAGAGGGGGGUGGAAUUCCGCGUGUAGCAGUGAAAUGCGUAGAUAUGCGGAGGAACACCGAUGGCGAAGGCAGCCCCCUGGGCCAACACUGACGCUCAUGCACGAAAGCGUGGGGAGCAAACAGGAUUAGAUACCCCUGUAGUCCCUGUCUCUUAUAC
rnacentral:rRNA from 1 species